rnacentral:lncRNA from 1 species
ACACUUUCUAGGCCUUGUGUGAUAAUAAGGGCAAAACAAUCUUAGCAACCUUAGCUACUUGAAUGAAAAAUGACAAUUUCCAUGUGCUUGCCUUCCUUUGUUAUCUAUCAACAUAUCUAUGUCAUUGCUAUUUCCCUGAAAUUACUGGUACAUGAAUUAGAUUAGCCAGCACAUUCUUGGGGUAACCAAGUUAAUUCUCCCACCCUUUAACAUGGACUUAUCUUCAUUGGGUAAAUCCCAAAAAGCUUGGCCUCAGGUGCUUUUUAUACUAAAGGUCAACACCUUCUAGUAACAACUUGUUUAAUUUGCAUCUGAAUCAUGAUGAAUAUAAUCUGAAAAAAAAAAAAAAAAAACCAUCUGAAUCUUAAAAGGUAGACCAUGCAAGAUUUGCAGAGGAUUUUUGUACCGUAAAACGAUGAAACAAAGAUUUGCAGAGGAUUUAUGUGAUCUAAAAACAAUGAAAGCAAAGAUUUUCCGUGUUCUUCUUCUUUGGGGUUGACAUUGACUUCGAAAAGGUCUUGGUAGG